ACGGGUGAGUAACGCGUGGGAACCUUCCUUGUGGUAAGGAAUAACUUAGGGAAACUUAAGCUAAUACCUUAUAUCUCCUCCGGGAGAAAGAUUUAUCGCCAUAAGAUGGGCCCGCGUUGGAUUAGCUAGUUGGUAGGGUAAUGGCCUACCAAGGCUACGAUCCAUAGCUGGUCUGAGAGGAUGAUCAGCCACAUUGGGACUGAGACACGGCCCAAACUCCUACGGGAGGCAGCAGUGGGGAAUAUUGGACAAUGGGGGCAACCCUGAUCCAGCCAUGCCGCGUGAGUGAAGAAGGCCUUAGGGUUGUAAAGCUCUUUCGCUAGGGACGAUAAUGACGGUACCUAGAUAAGAAGCCCCGGCUAACUUCGUGCCAGCAGCCGCGGUAAUACGAAGGGGGCUAGCGUUGUUCGGAAUCACUGGGCGUAAAGCGUACGCAGGCGGAUUGAUAAGUCAGGGGUGAAAUCCCGGGGCUCAACCUCGGAAUUGCCUUUGAUACUGUCUGUCUUGAGUUCGAGAGAGGUUGGCGGAAUUCCUAGU
rnacentral:rRNA from 1 species